GGAGAAGCAAAGUGAUGAGCCUUACUGCUGGAGCUCCAAAGAGGCACGCGCACGCGCGAGUGUGUGUGUGUGUGUGUGUGUGUGUGUGUGUAUGUAUCUGUAUCUGUAUCCUUGUCCGUGCAUACACGUGUAUGUCUGCGAGUAUGAAUGAGUGUGACAGGUUGUAGGGAACUAGUUAUGUGCCUGCUUUUGGACCAUGACAGUCAAACUGAUAAGAUCUGAUUGCUUU